rnacentral:rRNA from 1 species
AACGAACGCUGGCGGCAGGCCUAACACAUGCAAGUCGAGCGAACCCUUCGGGGUUAGCGGCGGACGGGUUAGUAACGCGUGGGAAUAUACCCUUUGGUACGGAAUAGCCUCGGGAAACUGAGAGUAAUACCGUAUGUGCCCUUCGGGGGAAAGAUUUAUCGCCAAAGGAUUAGCCCGCGUUGGAUUAGGUAGUUGGUGGGGUAAUGGCCUACCAAGCCUACGAUCCAUAGCUGGUUUGAGAGGAUGAUCAGCAACACUGGGACUGAGACACGGCCCAGACUCCUACGGGAGGCAGCAGUGGGGAAUCUUAGACAAUGGGCGCAAGCCUGAUCUAGCCAUGCCGCGUGGACGAUGAAGGCCUUAGGGUUGUAAAGUCCCUUCAGAUGGGAAGAUAAUGACGGUACCAUCAGAAGAAGCCCCGGCUAACUCCGUG